CUGCACGAACAACAACCCCGGGCUUCUCUGAAGUUGUAAAAUUCUUGACGAUGAAAGCCCCAAUGUUCGUGCUAAAGCGACGACGUCCAGUGUUGCAGUUCAGCCCUUUCUGUAUAUCCACGGCUGAGUUGUGUCAAAUCGACGCCAACAUCU